rnacentral:lncRNA from 1 species
CGGACGUGGGACCCCCGGUUCCGUCUCGGGAAGUAACUCAUCUGCCCCCUCUUUGAACACCUCCGCUCACGAGCGCAGCACGUGGAAACCGUCAGUGAUUUGUGUCUGCAACGUGUGUGAGAGAAUGGAGGCUUCUCGGGCCCGGCGUCCUAAAUUAUCUGAUUCCAAGCACGGGGAACAGAAUGGGGUAGGUCCCUGAUCUCCUAGGUUAUGGUUUUGUCCAGCUUCAGUCCCUUCAUUUGUCCGCUGGAGAAGAUUCGAAAGACUUUGAAGGAGGGGAGGGAGGCAAGUCCAGAGUUUAGAGAGUCUCAGAAGUAACUGGGACGUUACUAUUGUCGUUGCGCCUUGCAUUUUGAGAGUACAAUGGAGAGG